UUUUAGUGCGCUGCGCGACAGGGAUUGCAGCGGAAAUCCUUUUUUAGGCGGCGGCUUCGCCGCCGCCUAAAAAAGAUUGUAGCGUAAAGCCCGGCCCGCG
rnacentral:sRNA from 1 species